rfam:Ovis aries breed Texel chromosome 3, whole genome shotgun sequence.
UCCCUGGUGGCUCAGUGGCUAAGACUCUGCACUCCCAGUGCAGAAGACACAGGUUCAAUCCCUGGUCAGAGAA